UUAUAGAGAAGUGUUGACUACCAGAGAGCUAGAUCAUGAUCCCCAGGAUAGCCCCCAGUGGGCUGCAUUAGAUACACCUACACAACAGAUCCAGAGCAGUUGUAGAAAAGGGUAUGUUGCUACAUUACAGAGAAGUAAAAUCAAAAGUCAAUCUCCAGGGUAUCCUUUCUAUGAAUGGUUCCAGAACUGAACAGCAUAUCCCAGACCUAUGCUUAAUAAAGCGG